CCCUUAGAUGUCCGGGGCCGCACGCGCGCUACACUGAAGGAAUCAGCGUGGCUUUCUCCCUGACCCGAAAGGGUUGGGAAACCCAUUGAAUCUCCUUCGUGAUAGGGAUUGGGGCUUGAAAUUGUUCCCCAUGAACGAGGAAUUCCCAGUAAGCGCGAGUCAUAAGCUCGCGUUGAUUACGUCCCUGCCCUUUGUACACACCGCCCGUCGCUACUACCGAUUGAACGGUUUAGUGAGGGCCUCGGAUUGGUCUCGGCCCGCUCUUUACCGGGCGGCGCCGUUGGUCGAGAAGACGCUCGAACUUGAUCGUUUAGAGGAAGUAAAAGUCGUAACA
rnacentral:rRNA from 1 species